CUAAUUAUAUGGCCACUACUGUAUGCUUGUGUAAAAUACUCCUUGACAUAAUUUUUUUUUAAGUUAAUAUGGCCUAAAAUAUGGAGAAACUUGUUAAGAAAACUUUGUCGGUUAUGGCCCAGUACAAUUGGUUUCAUUGAUUGUCCAUCAUAUAUUUAUUGGGUGACAUACGAAAAAGUUUCUACGCCACCGACACUUGUUGACACAUCUGCGACACACAUAUUCCGUUACAGGCGUGAUAACGUCCGGAGAUCUCACUCAAUUUAAACCUUAUUAAAACUUAAUAGGUUGACUAAGGAAAAUUGCACAAUCGCUCGAUGGGCCACGCUCAAUAUUGCCCUUAUUAUUAUAUAUUGCCCUUGAAGUUAUAUUGCCCAUACUAUAAUAAGUACGCUAUGAUUAUCGGUUUGUUAGUGCUGGAUACGACUUCGAAGUUUCCUCAAUUAACAAUGGAAACAGUGGACAAAUAACUGAUAGCGCCUGAUGAUUUGCAUCGAAGAAGCCAAGGACGCUAGCAUCUGACAGGAAUGGAUGGAAAAAAUAUACACACGUCACUGAACAAAGAAAAUAAAGAAACGAAAAUAAAUCAUAUAUAAUAAAUAUACCGUAAA